rnacentral:rRNA from 1 species
AUUGAACGCUGGCGGCAGGCUUAACACAUGCAAGUCGAGCGGGGUGAUGGUGCUUGCACUAUCACUUAGCGGCGGACGGGUGAGUAGUGCCUAGAAAUCUGCCUAUUAGUGGGGGACAACAUCUCGAAAGGGAUGCUACUACCGCAUACGUCCUACGGGAGACGGCAGGGGAUCCCUUGUGGCCUUUCGCUAAUAGAUGAGCCCAAGUCGGAUUAGCUAGUUGGUGGGGUAAAGGCCUACCAAGGCGACGAUCUGUAGCGGGUCUGAGAGGAUGAUCCGCCACACUGGGACUGAGACACGGCCCAGACUCCUACGGGAGGCAGCAGUGGGGAAUAUUGGACAAUGGGGGGAACGCUGAUCCAGACAGGCCGCGUGUGUGAAGAAGGCCUUAUGGUUGUAAAGCACUUUAAGCGAGGAGGAGGCUCUUUUGGUUAAUACCCAAGAUGAGUGGACGUUACUCACAGAAUAAGCACCGGCUAACUCUGUGCCAGCCGCCGCGGUAA